rnacentral:tRNA from 1 species
UAUGUACUAAACCAUAUAGG